rnacentral:rRNA from 1 species
GAUGAACGCUGGCGGCGUGCCUAAUACAUGCAAGUCGAGCGAACAGACGAGGAUCUUGCUCCUCUCACGUUAGCGGCGGACGGGUGAGUAACACGUGUAUAACCUACUUAUCAUACUGGUAUAACUUCGGGAAACCGGAGCUUAUACCGGAUAAUAUAUUGAACCGCAUGGUUCAAUAGUGAAAGACGGUUUUGCUGUCACUUAUAGCUGGAUCCGCGCUGCUUUAGGUAGUUGGUGAGGUCACGGCUUACCAAGGCAAGGCUGCGUAGGCGACCUGCGAGGGUGAUCGGCCACCCUGGGAGUGUGACCGGGUCCAGACUCCUAGGGGAGGGAGCCGUAGGGAAUCUUCCGCAAUGGGUGAAAGACUGACGGAGCAACGCCGAGUGAUUGAGGAAGGUCUUCGGAUCGUAAAACUCUGUUAUUAGGGAAGAACACAUGUGUAAGUAACUAUGCGCGUCUUGAAGGGAACUAAUCAGAGAGCCACGGCUAACCACGUG